AGCGUACACGGUGGAUGCCCUGGCAGUCAGAGGCGAUGAAGGACGUGCUAAUCUGCGAUAAGCGUCGGUAAGGUGAUAUGAACCGUUAUAACCGGCGAUUUCCGAAUGGGGAAACCCAGUGUGUUUCGACACACUAUCAUUAACUGAAUCCAUAGGUUAAUGAGGCGAACCGGGGGAACUGAAACAUCUAAGUACCCCGAGGAAAAGAAAUCAACCGAGAUUCCCCCAGUAGCGGCGAGCGAACGGGGAGGAGCCCAGAGCCUGAAUCAGUGUGUGUGUUAGUGGAAGCGUCUGGAAAGGCGCGCGAUACAGGGUGACAGCCCCGUACACAAAAAUGCACAUAUUGUGAGCUCGAUGAGUAGGGCGGGACACGUGGUAUCCUGUCUGAAUAUGGGGGGACCAUCCUCCAAGGCUAAAUACUCCUGACUGACCGAUAGUGAACCAGUACCGUGAGGGAAAGGCGAAAAGAACCCCGGCGAGGGGAGUGAAAAAGAACCUGAAACCGUGUACGUACAAGCAGUGGGAGCACGCUUCGGCGUGUGACUGCGUACCUUUUGUAUAAUGGGUCAGCGACUUAUAUUCUGUAGCAAGGUUAACCGAAUAGGGGAGCCGAAGGGAAACCGAGUCUUAACUGGGCGUUAAGUUGCAGGGUAUAGACCCGAAACCCGGUGAUCUAGCCAUGGGCAGGUUGAAGGUUGGGUAACACUAACUGGAGGACCGAACCGACUAAUGUUGAAAAAUUAGCGGAUGACUUGUGGCUGGGGGUGAAAGGCCAAUCAAACCGGGAGAUAGCUGGUUCUCCCCGAAAGCUAUUUAGGUAGCGCCUCGUGAAUUCAUCUCCGGGGGUAGAGCACUGUUUCGGCAAGGGGGUCAUCCCGACUUACCAACCCGAUGCAAACUGCGAAUACCGGAGAAUGUUAUCACGGGAGACACACGGCGGGUGCUAACGUCCGUCGUGAAGAGGGAAACAACCCAGACCGCCAGCUAAGGUCCCAAAGUCAUGGUUAAGUGGGAAACGAUGUGGGAAGGCCCAGACAGCCAGGAUGUUGGCUUAGAAGCAGCCAUCAUUUAAAGAAAGCGUAAUAGCUCACUGGUCGAGUCGGCCUGCGCGGAAGAUGUAACGGGGCUAAACCAUGCACCGAAGCUGCGGCAGCGACGCUGAUGCGUUGUUGGGUAGGGGAGCGUUCUGUAAGCCUGUGAAGGUGUACUGUGAGGUAUGCUGGAGGUAUCAGAAGUGCGAAUGCUGACAUAAGUAACGAUAAAGCGGGUGAAAAGCCCGCUCGCCGGAAGACCAAGGGUUCCUGUCCAACGUUAAUCGGGGCAGGGUGAGUCGACCCCUAAGGCGAGGCCGAAAGGCGUAGUCGAUGGGAAACAGGUUAAUAUUCCUGUACUUGGUGUUACUGCGAAGGGGGGACGGAGAAGGCUAUGUUGGCCGGGCGACGGUUGUCCCGGUUUAAGCGUGUAGGCUGGUUUUCCAGGCAAAUCCGGAAAAUCAAGGCUGAGGCGUGAUGACGAGGCACUACGGUGCUGAAGCAACAAAUGCCCUGCUUCCAGGAAAAGCCUCUAAGCAUCAGGUAACAUCAAAUCGUACCCCAAACCGACACAGGUGGUCAGGUAGAGAAUACCAAGGCGCUUGAGAGAACUCGGGUGAAGGAACUAGGCAAAAUGGUGCCGUAACUUCGGGAGAAGGCACGCUGAUAUGUAGGUGAAGUCCCUCGCGGAUGGAGCUGAAAUCAGUCGAAGAUACCAGCUGGCUGCAACUGUUUAUUAAAAACACAGCACUGUGCAAACACGAAAGUGGACGUAUACGGUGUGACGCCUGCCCGGUGCCGGAAGGUUAAUUGAUGGGGUCAGCGCAAGCGAAGCUCUUGAUCGAAGCCCCGGUAAACGGCGGCCGUAACUAUAACGGUCCUAAGGUAGCGAAAUUCCUUGUCGGGUAAGUUCCGACCUGCACGAAUGGCGUAAUGAUGGCCAGGCUGUCUCCACCCGAGACUCAGUGAAAUUGAACUCGCUGUGAAGAUGCAGUGUACCCGCGGCAAGACGGAAAGACCCCGUGAACCUUUACUAUAGCUUGACACUGAACAUUGAGCCUUGAUGUGUAGGAUAGGUGGGAGGCUUAGAAGUGUGGACGCCAGUCUGCAUGGAGCCGACCUUGAAAUACCACCCUUUAAUGUUUGAUGUUCUAACGUGGACCCGUGAUCCGGGUUGCGGACAGUGUCUGGUGGGUAGUUUGACUGGGGCGGUCUCCUCCUAAAGAGUAACGGAGGAGCACGAAGGUUGGCUAAUCCUGGUCGGACAUCAGGAGGUUAGUGCAAUGGCAUAAGCCAGCUUGACUGCGAGCGUGACGGCGCGAGCAGGUGCGAAAGCAGGUCAUAGUGAUCCGGUGGUUCUGAAUGGAAGGGCCAUCGCUCAACGGAUAAAAGGUACUCCGGGGAUAACAGGCUGAUACCGCCCAAGAGUUCAUAUCGACGGCGGUGUUUGGCACCUCGAUGUCGGCUCAUCACAUCCUGGGGCUGAAGUAGGUCCCAAGGGUAUGGCUGUUCGCCAUUUAAAGUGGUACGCGAGCUGGGUUUAGAACGUCGUGAGACAGUUCGGUCCCUAUCUGCCGUGGGCGCUGGAGAACUGAGGGGGGCUGCUCCUAGUACGAGAGGACCGGAGUGGACGCAUCACUGGUGUUCGGGUUGUCAUGCCAAUGGCACUGCCCGGUAGCUAAAUGCGGAAGAGAUAAGUGCUGAAAGCAUCUAAGCACGAAACUUGCCCCGAGAUGAGUUCUCCCUGACUCCUUGA
rnacentral:rRNA from 1 species